rnacentral:rRNA from 1 species
UUUAAUGAGAGUUUGAUCCUGGCUCAGGACGAACGCUGGCGGCGUGCCUAAUACAUGCAAGUAGAACGCUGAAGAGAGGAGCUUGCUCUUCUUGGAUGAGUUGCGAACGGGUGAGUAACGCGUAGGUAACCUGCCUUGUAGCGGGGGAUAACUAUUGGAAACGAUAGCUAAUACCGCAUAACAAUGGAUGACCCAUGUCAUUUAUUUGAAAGGGGCAAAUGCUCCACUACAAGAUGGACCUGCGUUGUAUUAGCUAGUUGGAGGGGUAACGGCCCACCAAGGCGAUGAUCAGUAGCCGGUCUGAGAGGAUGAACGGCCACAUUGGGACUGAGACACGGCCCAGACUCCUACGGGAGGCAGCAGUGGGGAAUCUUCCGCAAUGGACGAAAGUCUGACGGAGCAACGCCGCGUGAGUGAUGACGGCCUUCGGGUUGUAAAGCUCUGUUAAUCGGGACGAAUGGUUCUUGUGCGAAUAGUGCGAGGAUUUGACGGUACCGGAAUAGAAAGCCACGGCUAACUACGUGCCAGCAGCCGCGGUAAUACGUAGGUGGCAAGCGUUGUCCGGAAUUAUUGGGCGUAAAGCGCGCGCAGGCGGAUUGGUCAGUCUGUCUUAAAAGUUCGGGGCUUAACCCCGUGAUGGGAUGGAAACUGCCAAUCUAGAGUAUCGGAGAGGAAAGUGGAAUUCCUAGUGUAGCGGUGAAAUGCGUAGAUAUUAGGAAGAACACCAGUGGCGAAGGCGGCUUUCUGGACUGCAACUGACGCUGAGGCUCGAAAGCCAGGGGAGCGAACGGGAUUAGAU